rnacentral:rRNA from 1 species
UACCCUGGUAGUCCACGCUGUAAACGAUGAGUACUAGGUGUCGGGGGUUACCCCCUUCGGUGCCGCAGCUAACGCAUUAAGUACUCCGCCGGGGAAGUACGCUCGCAAGAGUGAAACUCAAAGGAAUGGACGGGGACCCGCACAAGUAGCGGAGCAUGUGGUUUAAUUCGAAGCAACGCGAAGAACCUUACCUAAGCUUGACAUCCCAAUGACAUCUC